AAACUUUCAACAACGGAUCUCUUGGUUCUGGCAUCGAUGAAGAACGCAGCGAAAUGCGAUAAGUAAUGUGAAUUGCAGAAUUCAGUGAAUCAUCGAAUCUUUGAACGCACAUUGCGCCCCGUGGUAUUCCGCGGGGCAUGCCUGUCCGAGCGUCAUU
rnacentral:rRNA from 1 species